UGACAGAUUAAAGUAGGUACCAGUCUGUUAUCAAUGAACAAACCCACCGGCCCACAGGUCUACAAGCUAUUAGAUUAUAGAUCUACAAUUUGAUAAAGCAACAACAUGGCAAUUUUUGAUUCAAGCCGAGGAGGGUACAGGGUAUUUGUUGGUGAUCUUGGGAGUCGUGUCGGCAAGUACGAACUAGAGCGAGAGCUAGAAAAGUUUGGACCAAUUUUGGAUGUUUGGGUUGCAAGAAAUCCUCCAGGGUUUGCUUUCAUGGUAUAUAAAUAUUCAGAUGAUGCAGAAAAAUGUGUACAAAGACUCCAUGGAAGAGUUAUAUGUGGGAGAAGAGUUAGAGUAGAACAUGCAGUACCGUAUGACGAACAUCGGAGAGAUAAAUCAGUCAAAGGGAAAAGACCAGUAUAUAGACCGAAUUCCAGAUCACUCAGCAGAUCAAGAUCAAGGUCAAGACAAAGAUCGAAUAGGAGAUCAAGGUCAAAGUCACAUAAAAGGUCAAGGAGUGGAUCCAGAGACAGAAGAAAAUCAAAAUCAAGUACCAGUACGAGUAAACGAAAGAGGUCAUCCUCCAGAUCUAGGUCAAGAGACAGAAAAAGAUCAAAAGAAAGAAGCAGUAAAUCAGAACGUAAAUCAAAAUCCCGCUCCAGAAGUAAAUCUCCAAAAAGGAAAUCCUCCAGGCGAAGCAGAUCAAUAUCAAAGCAUGAAUCCAAAUCACCAGAUAAGAAGAGCAAAUCACAAGACAAGAAAAGUAAAUCACCAGAGAGAAAUAACGAAUCAUUAGAAAGAAAAAGUAAAUCGCCUGAUAGAAAAAGUAAAUCUCCAGACAGAAGAAGUAAAUCUCCAGACAGUAGGAGUAAAUCACCAGAGAGAAGGAGUAAAUCACCAGAAACACAGAGUAAAUCACCAGAACUUCAGAGUAAAUCACCAGAGCACAACAAUGUCUCAACAUUUUCUAACGAUAGUUCACCAUCACCAAUCAAAUCUGAUAAAAAUGACCAGUCUGCUGCAAGUGAUACGAAACCAGAUGAAAGUAUGGACAAUCAAGGCGCUGCUCCAAGGAGUAUGAACUCACCCACAUGAUAAACUACUACUCAGUAACAUACUCAAAGGCAGCUACUCAGGAUCAAUAACUCAUGUCAGAGACCAAGGGGUAGAUAACACACUAUCAGGAACAAUAACUCAUGUCAGAGACCAAGGGGAGAUAACCCACUAUCUCAAAAACAUACUCAAUACCACCACAACCACACUACUCAUGCUGAUAGUAAAAAGCCAAAUCUCAGAAGAUUACUUUACUUAUAUUAUCCAUGUCUGUUUCUGAAGACCAUGUUGAUACAUCACAUGUGACAGAUGUUUCACAUGCCACAGAUACAUCCCAUGUCAUGGAUAGUACGGACCCAGACAUUAGUGACAAACCAGACGACAAUGACGCCAAUGGGGAGUCAUAGUUAUUAUAAAUUGUGAUAAGAAGGACAGAAUCAAAAGAUGAUAGAAAGAGUUAUAUACAAGAGUUAUAUGUGCAGUUAUGCAGAAGACAAUUAUAUUUAAUAUUUUGUUAUAUAAACUUAAAAUUUGUUUAUUUUAUUUUACUGUUAAUCUCUAAAAACCAUCAUUGAAUAUACACCAUUUUAAAGUUGAAGAUGAUAAGUGAAUGCCGUACAGUAACCUAUAGUUGUUAAUUUCUGUGUCAUUUUGGUGUUUUGGAGAGUUGUUUCAUUGGCAAUCAUACCACAUCUUCUUUUUUAUAGUUGUAAGUAAUCAUUAUUUAUUGUAUAAAUAAGGGGUAAAGAUAUAUAUUUUGUAUUUUUUAGUUUUCACAAAAAAUGGCCCUUUUGGCUGAUGUGAGCUUUUCUCACUAAGAAUCAAUUGUUUAUAUUAUCAGAAAGAUGUAUUUAGAAAACAAAAUUACUCUAUGUUCCUUUUAUAAACCUCUGUGAAACCUAGUAACUGAUGACUUUCUUGUUAUGUAAUAUAUCAUGAUAUACAACCAGAUCUGUGAUAUGCAAUCU